rnacentral:rRNA from 1 species
UGAACGCUGGCGGCAUGCUUCCACAUGCGAGUCGAACGGCAGCACAGGCUAGCUUGCUACCUGGGUGGCGAGUGGCGGACGGGUGAGUAACGCGUAGGAAUUUACCUUUUUGUGGGGGAUAACCCGGGGAAACCCGGGCUAAUACCGCAUACGCCCUACGGGGAAAGCGGGGGACCUUCGGGCCUCGCGCAGAAAGAUGAGCCUGCGUCCUAUCAGGUAGUUGGUGAGGUAAUGGCUCACCAAGCCGACGACGGGUAGCUGGUCUGAGAGGACGACCAGCCACACUGGGACUGAGACACGGCCCAGACUCCUACGGGAGGCAGCAGUGGGGAAUAUUGGACAAUGGGGGCAACCCUGAUCCAGCAAUGCCGCGUGUGUGAAGAAGGCCUUCGGGUUGUAAAGCACUUUUAGCAGGAAAGAAAGGUCGUUCAUUAGUACCGAACGGCUUUGACGUUACUUGCAGAAAAAGCACCGGCUAACUCCGUGCCAGCAGCCGCGGUAAUACGGAGGGUGC